UACGUAGGGACCGAGCGUUGUCCGGAUUCAUUGGGCGUAAAGAGCUCGUAGGCGGCCACUCAAGUCGAAUGUGAAACCUCGAGGCUUAACCUCGAGCCUGCAUUCGAUACUGGGCGGCUAGAGUCUGGUAGGGGGAUCUGGAAUUCCUGGUGUAGCGGUGGAAUGCGCAGAUAUCAGGAGGAACACCGGUGGCGAAGGCGGGAUCCUGGGCCAGUACUGACGCUGGGGAGCGAAAGCGUGGGGAGCAAACAGG
rnacentral:rRNA from 1 species